rnacentral:rRNA from 1 species
UACGAAGGGGGCUAGCGUUGUUCGGAAUUACUGGGCGUAAAGCGCACGUAGGCGGAUUUUUAAGUCAGGUGUGAAAUCCCGGGGCUCAACCUCGGAACUGCAUUUGAAACUGGAAGUCUUGAGACCAGGAGAGGUUAGCGGAAUACCGAGUGUAGAGGUGAAAUUCGUAGAUAUUCGGUGGAACACCAGUGGCGAAGGCGGCUAACUGGACUGGUACUGACGCUGAGGUGCGAAAGUGUGGGGAGCAAACAGG